GACGAACGCUGGCGGCGUGCUUAACACAUGCAAGUCGAACGGAAAGGCCCUGCUUGCAGGGUACUCGAGUGGCGAACGGGUGAGUAACACGUGGGUGAUCUGCCCUGCACUUCGGGAUAAGCCUGGGAAACUGGGUCUAAUACCGGAUAGGAGCCAUUUUUAGUGUGAUGGUUGGAAAGUUUUUUCGGUGUAGGAUGAGCUCGCGGCCUAUCAGCUUGUUGGUGGGGUAAUGGCCUACCAAGGCGGCGACGGGUAGCCGGCCUGAGAGGGUGGACGGCCACAUUGGGACUGAGAGACGGCCCAGACUCCGACGGGAGGCAGAAGUGGGGAAUAUUGCACAAUGGGCGCAAGCCUGAUGCAGCGACGCCGCGUGGGGGAUGACGGCCUUCGGGUUGUAAACUCCUUUCGCUAGGGACGAAGCUUUUUGUGACGGUACCUAGAUAAGAAGCACCGGCUAACUACGUA
rnacentral:rRNA from 1 species